CCAAACAGAACAGCAAACCCUAACAUGUUAUUGCCAAAGCCAAGCAUUAGGAUUCCACACAGUACUAACUCUACAUAAACGUAUACCUGGCUGUCUUAUUUAUAGACAAUUGAUUAUAUGUCCUUUUUGCCUUUUAGAUUCUCCUGAAAAAUAUCCUUGCUUGAAGUUGGAUUGGAAAAUUCUGUUCCUAAUGAGACAGUAGGAAUGAAGGAUUUACAAACGUCCAGAUCAGGUGAAAAAAUAUCAGCAUGGAAUAUUUCUUCUGGGGAUAGAACAACAUAAUAUCGCAUACAGGCCAAGACAAGAGAAUUCUCAACUAUGUCGCAUGAACUCUGCUGAAUGGCUAGGAUCAGGAUGAGGCCUUUGACUGGAAGUAGUUUCAAGAAAUAGGCCCCAUGGAAGCUGCACUGGAGUGAAUAUUCCUUAGAGAAUAUUUACUGGGAAAAGCAGUAGAGUGCUGGAUGGUAAAUGAAGAGGAACAUGGAGUUCAGUGGGGUUUUCUUUCUUUUUUUAUGGUAAGAUGGGUGUAUUUAGGGUAUUUUUGUAUGUUGAAAAUAAUCCAGUAGAGGACAUGUUUCUUCAAUUCAGUCGUGUUUGUAUUUCCCACAUUAGAAAGCUCAUUGAUCGUAUUUCAUUACCUUUAAAACAGCAUAGGAAACUAAUUCUACCUAACAUUUCUUCUAUUCAUGUAUAGUUUUAUGUUAGGGGUUUUGUUCAGUGGCUGUGAAGCGUAAUCUUCUUAAAUAAGUGAAUAUGCAGAUGAUGACGUAGUAGGUAUACUAUCAUACAUGGGUAUUAAAAAUUAUGUAAUCCUAAAUAUGCAAACACGUAGGCCUUACUGAAUAGGAUUUAAUCAUUCCUCAAUGAUUCUAGGUAGUACAGUGUUUUUGAUGGUGUCAUCAUGAGUAACUGUGGUUUUGUGAGGUACUCUAAAACAUCAGACUCUAUUACCUUCAUAGUUGUUUAGUUUCCAGGGAAAAGGGGAAGAUUUUAUUUAGAUACAUUGGAAAUAGACACUAUUAAUAGUCUAUUGCAGAUUAUUACUCUUCAAUAAUAAAGUUCUAAAUGACAAAAGCCAUGCUUCCUGUUCCAAAACAGCCCUUAACACAUAUUGCAUGCUCAAUAAAUAUAUAUAUGUUAAAUGCAUGA